rnacentral:rRNA from 1 species
AUUGAACGCUGGCGGCAUGCCUUACACAUGCAAGUCGAACGGUAACAGGUCUUCGGAUGCUGACGAGUGGCGAACGGGUGAGUAAUACAUCGGAACGUGCCUAGUAGUGGGGGAUAACUACUCGAAAGAGUGGCUAAUACCGCAUGAGAUCUACGGAUGAAAGCAGGGGAUCGCAAGACCUUGUGCUACUAGAGCGGCCGAUGGCAGAUUAGGUAGUUGGUGGGAUAAAAGCUUACCAAGCCGACGAUCUGUAGCUGGUCUGAGAGGACGAUCAGCCAACCUGGGACUGAGACACGGCCCAUAAUCCUAAGGGAGGCAGCAGUGGGGAAUUUUGGACAAUGGGCGCAAGCGUGAUCCAGCAAUGCCGCGUGCAGGAUGAAGGCCUUCGGGUUGUAAACUGCUUUUGUACGGAACGAAAAGCCCUGGGUUAAUACCCUGGGGUCAUGACGGUACCGUAAGAAUAAGCACCGGCUAACUACGUGCCAGCAGCCGCCGUAACAC